AUUGAACGCUGGCGGCAGGCCUAACACAUGCAAGUCGAGCGAGCGGCGGACGGGUGAGUAAUGCCUGGGAAUUGCCCAGUCGAGGGGGAUAACAGUUGGAAACGACUGCUAAUACCGCAUACGCUUGGAUGGCCGAGGUGGGAUUAGCUAGUUGGUGAGGUAAUGGCUCACAAAGGCGACGAUCCCUAGCGGGGCUGAGAGGAUGAUCAGCCACACUGGAACUGAUACACGGUCCAGACUCCUACGGGAGGCAGCAGUGGGGAAUAUUGCACAAUGGGGGAAACCCGGAUGCAGCCAUGCCGCGUGUGUGAAGAAGGCCUUCGGGUUGUAAAGCACUUUCAGCGAGGAGGCGUUACUCGCAGAAGAAGCACCGGCUAACUCCGUGCCAGCCGCCGCGGUAAUUC
rnacentral:rRNA from 1 species